rnacentral:rRNA from 1 species
AGCGAACGCUGGCGGCGUGCCUAACACAUGCAAGUCGAACGUGAAAGGGAGCAAUCCCAAGUAAAGUGGCGUACGGGUGAGUAACACGUAGGUAAUCUACCCCAGAAUCUGGAAUAACCGGCCGAAAGGCUGGCUAAUACUGGAUAGAGCGACGGAAUCCGUAAUUGGGUUUUUCGGGAAAGGGAGCCUGUAAAAAGGCCUUCGUUCUGGGAUGAGCCUGCGUCCCAUCAGCUAGUUGGUGAGGUAAAAGCUUACCAAGGCAAUGACGGGUAGCUGGUCUGAGAGGACGAUCAGCCACACUGGAACGGAAACACGGUCCAGACUCCUACGGGAGGCAGCAGUGGGGAAUCUUGCGCAAUGGACGAAAGUCUGACGCAGCAACGCCGCGUGAGUGAAGAAGGCCGUCGGGUUGUAAAGCUCUGUCGAGUGGGACGAAAAUGCUUGGAGUUCACAGCUCCAGGAACUGACGGUACCACUAAAGGAAGCACCGGCUAACUCCGUG